AUACGGAGGGUGCAAGCGUUAUUCGGAAUCACUGGGCGUAAAGGACGCGUAGGCGGGUUGGCAAGUCAGAUGUGAAAUCCUACAGCUUAACUGUAGAACUGCAUUUGAAACUGCUAACCUAGAGUAUGGGAGGGGGAGAUGGAAUUAGUGGUGUAGGGGUAAAAUCCGUAGAUAUCACUAGGAAUACCGAAAGCGAAGGCGAUCUCCUGGAACAUAACUGACGCUAAGGCGUGAAAGCAUGGGGAGCAAACAGGAUUAGAUACCCUUGUAGUCC
rnacentral:rRNA from 1 species